AGCCCAGCCCUGGAUUCCCAGGUCCUCACAUUCAGUGAUCAGCACUGAGAACAGACAUUUCACCAUGGACCUGGGGCUCAGCUUAGUUUUCCUUGUCUUCAUUUUAAAAAGUGUCCAGAGUGACGUACAGCUUGUGGAGUCUGGAGGAGGCUUGGUGCAGCCUGGAAAGUCCCUGAAACUCUCCUGUGCAGCCUCUGGAUUCACCUUCAGUAGCUACAGCAUGGACUGGGUCCGCCAGGCUCCAGGGAAGGGGCUGGAGUGGGUUGCCGUUAUUAGCAGUGGAGGUACAAUCUACUAUGCCUACGCCGUGAAGGGCCGGUUCACCAUCUCCAGAGACAAUGCCAAGAACACGCUGUACCUGGAAAUGAACAGUCUGAAGUCGGAGGACACGGCCACAUAUUACUGUGCAAGACACACAGUGAGUGAAAGUUACCAAGAGCUCAGACACAAACCUCCCUGCAGGGCGCUCAUGACCAGCAGGGGGCGCUGA